UAUAUUUAGGUGUUUAGCACAUGGGAUUUUGAUUUCCAAGGUUUUAGUUAAUUUCUAAAAAAUAUAA
rnacentral:tRNA from 1 species